rnacentral:rRNA from 1 species
ACGAAGCUGGAAUCGCUAGUAAUCGUGAAUCAGAAUGUCACGGUGAAUACGUUCCCGGGUCUUGUACACACCGCCCGUCACACCAUGGGAGUCAGCAACGCCCGAAGUCAGUGACCUAACCGAGAGGGAGGAGCUGCCGAAGGCGGGGCCGGUAACUGGGGUGAAGUCGUAACAAGGUACC